rnacentral:rRNA from 1 species
GCUCCAAUAGCGUAUAUUAAAGUUGUUGCAGUUAAAAAGCUCGUAGUUGAAUUUCGGGAUCAGUAGGUUGGUCAUGCCUCUGGUAUGUACUGAUCUCACUGAUUCCUCCUUCCUUAUGAACCGUAAUGCCAUUAAUUUGGUGUUGCGGGAAAUUUGAACUGUUACUUUGAAAAAAUUAGAGUGUUUAA